UUGAUCUCAAAUCAGGUAGGACUACCCGCUGAACUUAAGCAUAUCAAUAAGCGGAGGAAAAGAAACUAACAAGGAUUCCCCUAGUAACUGCGAGUGAAGCGGGAAGAGCUCAAAUUUAAAAUCUGGCGUGCCUCUGGUCGUCCGAGUUGUAGUCUGGAGAAGCGUUUUCCGUGUUGGACCGUGUACAAGUCUCUUGGAACAGGGCGUCAUAGAGGGUGAGAAUCCCGUCUUUGACACGGACUACCAAUGCUUUGUGAUGCGCUCUCAAAGAGUCGAGUUGUUUGGGAAUGCAGCUCAAAAUGGGUGGUAAAUUCCAUCUAAAGCUAAAUAUAGGCGAGAGACCGAUAGCGAACAAGUACCGUGAGGGAAAGAUGAAAAGCACUUUGGAAAGAGAGUUAAACAGUACGUGAAAUUGCUGAAAGGGA
rnacentral:rRNA from 1 species